rnacentral:misc_RNA from 1 species
AACGCACAUUGCGCCCUUUGGCAUUCCGAGGGGCAUGCCCGUUCGAGCGUCAUUAAAUCCACUCAAGCCUGGCUUGGUGUUGGGCGUCGGGGUCCCCCGCGCCUCAAUUUCACCGGCUGGCCGUCGCCCGUCGUAGCGUUGUGACACAUCUCUCGCUACCGGUGGGACCGGAUCACGCCGUCAAAACCCACGAAUUUCAGUCGAAAUUUGAUUAGGUUGACCUCGGAUCGGGUAGGAAUACCCGCUGAACUUAA